GAAAUGCGAUAAGUAGUGUGAAUUGCAGAAUUCAGUGAAUCAUCGAAUCUUUGAACGCACAUUGCGCCCUUUGGUAUUCCUUAGGGCAUGCCUGUUCGAGCGUCAUCUAAACCUUCAAGCCCUGCUUGGUGUUGGGUGCCUGUCCCACCUCCGCGCGCGGACUCACCUCAAAUCCAUUGGCGGCCCCCGCGUCGGCCACGAGCGCAGCAGAAACGCGAACUCGUGAGCCCGUCCGGGCGGCUCCCAGAAGCUACACCCACCCAGUUUGACCUCGGAUCAGGUAGGGAUACCCGCUGAACUUAAGC
rnacentral:misc_RNA from 1 species